GAUGAACGCUGGCGGCGUGCUUAGCACAUGCAAGUCGAACGAAGCACUUUAUUUGAUUUCCUUCGGGACUGAUUAUUUUGUGACUGAGUGGCGGACGGGUGAGUAACGCGUGGGUAACCUGCCUUGUACAGGGGGAUAACAGUUGGAAACGGCUGCUAAUACCGCAUAAGCGCACGGCAUCGCAUGAUGCAGUGUGAAAAACUCCGGUGGUAUAAGAUGGACCCGCGUUGGAUUAGCUAGUUGGUGAGGUAACGGCCCACCAAGGCGACGAUCCAUAGCCGACCUGAGAGGGUGACCGGCCACAUUGGGACUGAGACACGGCCCAAACUCCUACGGGAGGCAGCAGUGGGGAAUAUUGCACAAUGGGCGAAAGCCUGAUGCAGCGACGCCGCGUGAGCGAAGAAGUAUUUCGGUAUGUAAAGCCCUAUCAGCAGGGAAGAUAAUGGCGGUACCUGACGAAGAAGCACCGGCUAAAUACGUG
rnacentral:rRNA from 1 species